UACGUAGGGUGCAAGCGUUAAUCGGAAUUACUGGGCGUAAAGCGUGCGUAGACGGCUAUCUAAGUCGGGUGUGAAAAGCCCCGGGCUCAACCUGGGAAUUGCAUUCGAGACUGAAUAGCUAGGGUACGGUAGAGGGAAGUGGAAUUUCCGGUGUAGCGGUGAAAUGCGUAGAUAUCGGAAGGAACAUCAGUGGCGAAAGCGACUUCCUGGACCAGUACCGACGUUCAGGCACGAAAGCCGUGGGGAGCAAACAG
rnacentral:rRNA from 1 species